GGGCGAGCGCGGUCUAAUCAUGCAGUCGAGCGGACGAUGGGAGCUUGCUCCCUGAUGUUAGCGGCGGACGGGUGAGUACACGUGGGUAACCUGCCUGUAAGACUGGGAUAACUCCGGGAAACCGGGGCUAAUACCGGAUGGUUGUUUGAACCGCAUGGUUCAGACAUAAAAGGUGGCUUCGGCUACCACUUACAGAUGGACCCGCGGCGCAUUAGCUAGUUGGUGAGGUAACGGCUCACCAAGGCGACGAUGCGUAGCCGACCUGAGAGGGUGAUCGGCCACACUGGGACUGAGACACGGCCCAGACUCCUACGGGAGGCAGCAGUAGGGAAUCUUCCGCAAUGGACGAAAGUCUGACGGAGCAACGCCGCGUGAGUGAUGAAGGUUUUCGGAUCGUAAAGCUCUGUUGUUAGGGAAGAACAAGUGCCGUUCAAAUAGGGCGGCACCUUGACGGUACCUAACCAGAAAGCCACGGCUAACUACGUGCCAGCAGCCGCGGUAAUACGUAGGUGGCAAGCGUUGUCCGGAAUUAUUGGGCGUAAAGGGCUCGCAGGCGGUUUCUUAAGUCUGAUGUGAAAGCCCCCGGCUCAACCGGGGAGGGUCAUUGGAAACUGGGGAACUUGAGUGCAGAAGAGGAGAGUGGAAUUCCACGUGUAGCGGUGAAAUGCGUAGAGAUGUGGAGGAACACCAGUGGCGAAGGCGACUCUCUGGUCUGUAACUGACGCUGAGGAGCGAAAGCG
rnacentral:rRNA from 1 species